rnacentral:rRNA from 1 species
AGCGAACGCUGGCGGCAGGCUUAACACAUGCAAGUCGAGCGGGCAUCCAUGUGGUGUCUGCGGCAGACGGGUGAGUAACGCGUGGGAACGAGCCCUUCGGUUCGGAAUAACUUAUGGAAACGUGUGCUAAUACCGGAUACGUGCGAGUACAGCAAGGUUUAUCUGCCGAAGGGUCGGCCCGCGUCUGAUUAGCUAGUUGGUGAGGUUACGGCUCACCAAUGCGACGUUCAGUAGCUGGUCUGGGAGGAUGAUCAGCCACACUGGGACUGAGACACGGCCCAGACUCCUACGGGAGGCGGCAGAGGCUAAUACUGGACAAUGGGGGCAACCCUGAUCCCGCCAUGCCGCGUGAGUCAUGUCGUCCUUAGGGUUGUAAAGCUCUUUUCUCCGGGACGAUAAUGACGGUACCGGAGGAAUAAGCCCCGGCUAACUUCGUG